GACGAACGCUGGCGGCGUGCUUAACACAUGCAAGUCGAACGGUGAACUCCGCUUGCGGGGGGAUCAGUGGCGAACGGGUGAGUAACACGUGGGCAACCUGCCCUCAGCUCUGGGAUAACUCCAAGAAAUUGGGGCUAAUACCGGAUAUGACCGCUGACCGCAUGGUCUGGUGGUGGAAAGAUUUAUCGGCUGGGGAUGGGCCCGCGGCCUAUCAGCUUGUUGGUGGAGUAGUGGCCUACCAAGGCGACGACGGGUAGCCGGCCUGAGAGGGUGACCGGCCACACUGGGACUGAGACACGGCCCAGACUCCUACGGGAGGCAGCAGUGGGGAAUAUUGCGCAAUGGGCGAAAGCCUGACGCAGCGACGCCGCGUGGGGGAUGACGGCCUUCGGGUUGUAAACCUCUUUCAGCAGGGACGAAGCGAAAGUGACGGUACCUGCGGAAGAAGCACCGGCCAACUACGUG
rnacentral:rRNA from 1 species